UGGGGAAUAUUGCGCAAUGGGGGAAACCCUGACGCAGCCAAUCCGCGUGAGUGAUGAAGGCCUUCGGGUUGUAAAGCUCUGUCGUAGGGGACGAAGAAAUGACGGUACCCUACAAGAAAGCACCGGCUAACCCCGUGCCAGCAGCCGCGGUAAUACGGGGGGUGCAAGCGUUGCUCGGAAUCACUGGGCGUAAAGCGUCCGCAGGCGGGCGCGCAGGUCGGUCGUGAAAGCCCGGGGCUCAACCCCGGAACUGCGAUCGAAACCGCGUGCCUUGAGUACGGGAGAGGGGGGUGGAAUUCCUGGUGUAGAGGUGAAAUUCGUAGAUAUCAGGAGGAACACCGGUGGCGAAAGCGGCCCCCUGGCCCGAGACUGACGCUCAUGGACGAAAGCGUGGGUAGCA
rnacentral:rRNA from 1 species